rnacentral:rRNA from 1 species
UGCGGCGCACAUAAGACAUGCAAGUCGAACGGACUUAACCAUUAUUUUACUAUUGGAGCGGUUAGUGGCGGACUGGUGAGUAACACGUAAGCAACCUGCCUAUCAGAGGGGAACAACAGUUAGAAAUGACUGCUAAUACCGCAUAUGCCUUAAUUACCACAUGGUAAUAGAGGGAAAGGAGCAAUCCGCUGAUAGAUGGGCUUGCGUCUGAUUAGAUAGUUGGUAAGGUAACGGCUUACCAAGUCGACGAUCAGUAGGCGGACUGAGAGGUUGAACGGCCACAUUGGGACUGAGAUACGGCCCAGACUCCUACGGGAGGCAGCAGUCGGGAAUAUUGCGCAAUGGAGGAAACUCUGACGCAGUGACGCCGCGUGCAGGAAGAAGGUUUUCGGAUUGUAAACUGCUUUAGACAGGGAAGAAACAAGACAGUACCUGUAGAAUAAGCUCCGGCUAACUACGUGCCAGCAGCCGCGGUAAUACGUAGGGAGCAAGCGUUAUCCGGAUUUAUUGGGUGUAAAGGGUGCGUAGACGGGAAUGCAAGUUGGUUGUGAAAUCCCUCGGCUCAACCGAGGAAUUGCAACCAAAACUAUAUUUCUUGAGUGCUGGAGAGGAAAGUGGAAUUCCUAGUGUAGCGGUGAAAUGCGUAGAUAUUAGGAGGAACACCAGUGGCGAAGGCGAUUUUCUGGACAGUAACUGACGUUGAGGCACGAAAAGUGUGGGGAGCAAACAGGAUUAGAUACCCUGGUAGUCCACACCGUAAACGAUGGAUACUAGGUGUAGGGGAUGAAUAAUCUUCUGUGCUGUCGCAAACGCAGUAAGUAUCCCACCUGGGGAGUGCGGCCGCAAGGUUGAAACUCAAAGGAAUUGACGGGGGCCCGCACAAGCAGUGGAGUAUGUGGUUUAAUUCGACGCAACGCGAAGAACCUUACCAGGGCUUGACAUAUACAUGAAAAUCUAAGAGAUUAGAUCCCUCUUCGGAGCAUGUAUACAGGUGGUGCAUGGUUGUCGUCAGCUCGUGUCGUGAGAUGUUGGGUUAAGUCCCGCAACGAGCGCAACCCCUGUUCUUAGUUGCCAGCAUGUAAAGAUGGGAACUCUAAGAAGACUGCCGGUGAUAAAUCGGAGGAAGGUGGGGACGACGUCAAAUCAUCAUGCCCUUUAUGUCCUGGGCUACACACGUACUACAAUGGCUGUAACAAAGGGAAGCGAACCCGCGAGGGGAAGCAAAACCCAUAAAAGCAGUCUCAGUUCGGAUUGAAGGCUGAAAUUCGCCUUCAUGAAGCCGGAAUUGCUAGUAAUGGCAGGUCAGCAUACUGCCGUGAAUACGUUCCCGGGCCUUGUACACACCGCCCGUCACACCAUGAGAGUUGGGGAUACCCGAAGCCUGUGAGCUAACUGUAAAGAGGCAGCAGUCGAAGGUAGAAUCAAUGAUUGG